rnacentral:rRNA from 1 species
UGAGUAACACGUGGGUGACCUGCCCUUGAGACGGGGAUAACGGAUGGAAACAUGCGCUAAUACCCGAUAGGGUCCCAGGGUCAAAGCUGGGAUGAAAGCUUUGGUGCUCAAGGAGGGGCUCGCGGCCCAUCAGCUAGUUGGUGAGGUAACGGCUCACCAAGGCGAAGACGGGUAGGGGGUGUGAGAGCACGGCCCCCCACAAUGGGACUGAGACACGGCCCAUACUCCUACGGGAGGCAGCAGCAGGGAAUAUUGCACAAUGGACGGAAGUCUGAUGCAGCGACGCCGCGUGGAUGAUGAAGGCCUUCGGGUUGUAAAAUCCUUUACGGGGUGACGAGGAAGGACGGUAGCCCCGGAACAAGCGUCGGCUAACUACGUGCCAGCAGCCGCGGUAAGACGUAGGACGCAAGCGUUAUCCGGAUUUACUGGGCGUAAAGCGUCUGUAGGCGGAUGAGUAAGUUGGGCGUGAAAGCUCCGGGCUCAACCCGGAGAGGCCGUUCAAUACUGCUGAUCUAGAGGAGGCCAGAGGGGAGUGGAAUUCCUGGAGUAGCGGUAAAAUGCGCAGAUAUCAGGAAGAACACCAGUGGCGAAGGCGGCUCCCUAGGGCCCACCUGACGCUGAGAGACGACAGCUAGGGGAGCGAACAGGAUUAGAGACCCUGGUAGUCCUAGCCGUAAACGAUGGAUGCUAGGUGUAGGGCCGUAGAGGCUCUGUGCCGGAGCGAACGCGAUAAGCAUCCCACCUGGGGAGUACGGCCGCAAGGCUAAAACUCAAAUGAAUUGACGGGGACCCGCACAAGCAGCGGAGCGUGUGGUGUAAUUCGAUGCUACACGAAGAACCUUACGUGGGUUUGACAUGGGCGUGGUAGUGAAGCGAAAGCGGAGCGACCCUUCGGGGAGCGUCCACAGGUGCUGCAUGGCGGUAGUCAGCUCGUGCCGUGAGGUGUCGGGUUAAGUCCCGUAACGAGCGCAACCCUUGCCCUUAGUUACAAGUGUCUAAGGGGACUGCCGGCGGGAAGCCGGAGGAAGGUGGGGAUGACGUCAAGUCAGCAUGGCCCUUAUAUCCAGGGCUACACACACGCUACAAUGGCCGGUACAGAGGGCAGCGAAGCCGCGAGGUGGAGCGAAUCCCAGAAAGCCGGUCGUAGUUCGGAUUG